rnacentral:misc_RNA from 1 species
GAUCAUUACUGAGUUCUACAAAAACUCCCAACCCUUUGUGAACCUUACCAUCGUUGCCUCGGCGCCGAGCAGCGGCUACCCGGGAGAAGCUACCCUGUAACUGCGAGAGCAGCUACCCUGUAGCUACCCUGUAGUCGCACUCUACGCUCCGCCGGAGGACCACGCAAACUCUUUUGUAUCAUGGUGUAUCUCUGAAUACGUAACUAAAUAAGUUAAAACUUUCAACAACGGAUCUCUUGGUUCUGGCAUCGAUGAAGAACGCAGCGAAAUGCGAUAAGUAAUGUGAAUUGCAGAAUUCAGUGAAUCAUCGAAUCUUUGAACGCAUAUUGCGCCCAUUAGUAUUCUAGUGGGCAUGCCUAUUCGAGCGUCAUUUCAACCCUUAAGCCCUGUUGCUUAGCGUUGGGACUCUACCCUGUAGCAGGUGUAGUUCCCUAAAGGUAGUGGCAGUGUUAGGUACACUCGUAGCGUAGUAAUUCUUUCUCGCUUCCGUGGUGGCCCUGACGACUCGCCGUGAAACCCCCUUAUAUUUUCUAGUGGUUGACCUCGGAUUAGGUAGGAAUACCCGCUGAACUUAAGCAUAUCAAUAAGCGGAGGAAAAGAAACCAACAGGGAUUGCCCUAGUAACGGCGAGUGAAGCGGCAACAGCUCAAAUUUGAAAUCUGGCCCUCGUGGUCCGAGUUGUAAUUUGUAGAGGAUGCUUUUGGUGCGGUGCCUUCCGAGUUCCCUGGAACGGGACGCCAGAGAGGGUGAGAGCCCCGUACGGUUGGCCACCUACCCUAUAUAUAGCUCCUUCGACGAGUCGAGUAGUUUGGGAAUGCUGCUCUAAAUGGGAGGUAAAUUUCUUCUAAAGCUAAAUACCGGCCAGAGACCGAUAGCGCACAAGUAGAGUGAUCGAAAGAUGAAAAGCACUUUGAAAAGAGGGUUAAAUAGCACGUGAAAUUGUUGAAAGGGAAGCGUUUACGACCAGACCUUUUCUAGGCGGAUCAUCCGGUGUUCUCACCGGUGCACUUCACCUAGUCUAGGCCAGCAUCGGUUUUCGUAAGAGGAUAAAGGCUCGGGGAACGUAUCUCUCUCGGGAGUGUUAUAGCCCCUUGUGUAAUACUCUUAU